rnacentral:tRNA from 1 species
AAUUUAUUAGUUUAAAUUAAAAACAUUACAUUUUCAAUGUAAAAAUAAAUUUUGAUUUAUAAAUUA